UUUGUGAUGCAACUACUUUCCUCCUGUUGACUAGGUCUCCAGGGAUAAGCCUAUGGCCCAGAGCACUGCCCCCGUGCCCCCAGAGCUGUUGGCUCCAGGCUCUACCUGAUUCCUUCCAGUUAGAACUACAGAGGCCUGGGGUCCCAUCCCAGGAACCGACACACACCUGAGGAGCAGAGCAGCCUAUAGAAGGUGGGGUCUGGAGCCUCAGCUCCUGGGGGAUGGAAGGUGCAGCAGGGCCAGGAGCACCUCAGGUGUUGGCGGUGACAGCUACAGGAGAGACGCUGUUCUAGGUGCUGGGGACCUGGGGUGGAGAAGACGAGAUUCCAUACAAAUGCAGUAGAGCAUGGCCAGGACUCUGUGGGGAAGGCACGAGUGGGGGUGACCAGGCUUCUCUGAGCAGAGACCAACUGGAGUUCGGAGUGUGUGCCCUCAGAGACCCGCAGGGGAGCACCGUAGGAGAGGGAGCAACAGAUGCAAAGGCCCUGAGAGCCCUGAUCACCUGGUCGUUCUCUUGUUCACCUGCUCUCUCUGCAGCACAGCCACAUCCCCAGUGCCUCGAACAGUUUCUACCUGACUCAGCACUCAGUGAACAUUUGAACUCUCCUGUGGUGCGGGGGCGGGGAAUGAAUAUCCAGUGAAUAAAUGCUGGAUAGU